rnacentral:rRNA from 1 species
UACGGAGGGUGCGAGCGUUGUCCGGAAUUAUUGGGCGUAAAGGGCGCGUAGGCGGCCAUGCGUGUCUUCCGUGAAAUCCCUCGGCUCAACCGAGGACGUGCGGAAGAAACUGCAAGGCUCGAGUCCGGAAGAGGGGGGCGGAAUUCCCAGUGUAGCGGUGAAAUGCGUAGAUAUUGGGAGGAACACCAGUGGCGAAGGCGGUCCCCUGGGCCGGAACUGACGCUGAGGCGCGAAAGCGUGGGUAGCAAACGGG